GAGUUUGAUCCUGGCUCAGAACGAACGCUGGCGGCGUGCUUAACACAUGCAAGUCGAACGUGAUCCGGAGCUUGCUCCGGUGAAAGUGGCGCACGGGUGAGUAACGCGUGGAUAAUCUGCCCUGGUAUCUGGGAUAACAUCUCGAAAGGGGUGCUAAUACCGGAUAAGCCUACGGACUCUUCGGAGUCUGCAGGAAAAGGUGGCCUCUAUUUAUAAGCUUCCGUAUCAUGAUGGGUCCGCGUACCAUUAGCUAGUUGGUGGGGUAAUGGCCUACCAAGGCGACGAUGGUUAGCUGGUCUGAGAGGAUGAUCAGCCACACUGGAACUGAGACACGGUCCAGACUCCUACGGGAGGCAGCAGUGGGGAAUUUUGCGCAAUGGGGGAAACCCUGACGCAGCAACGCCGCGUGAGUGAUGAAGGCUUUCGGGUCGUAAAGCUCUGUCAGAGGGGAAGAAAUGAAACGUGCUAAUAUCACGUUUUCUUGACGGUACCCUCAAAGGAAGCACCGGCUAACUCCGUGCCAGCAGCCGCGGUAAUACAAGGGCGMMYSCY
rnacentral:rRNA from 1 species